UGGGGUUCACUCAAUACAAGUCC
rnacentral:siRNA from 1 species